GGCAUGCUGUAACCGCACGAAUCGGGUCUAAGCACGGAUUUGGAUUUGAUCCUAACCGUCACCUGGACAAGGCGAGUCUGAGACAUGAG
rfam:Paenibacillus sp. Soil787 contig_4, whole genome shotgun sequence.